ensembl:lncRNA
AAUGGCAGCCUCCAGGAGAAUUCAUGCAGAUGAGCAUUCCCCGGCGCAUCUGCCUCCAGUGUCCCUGUCUGCGCAGUAAACCACAGCUGACUGCUGCCUCAUUAGAAGACUCACAGUUGAAUGAUUUCUGAGAGGCAGUUAAGGAGGCCAGCAUCCAUGUUUCCACCAGGAAUGGGCGCUACUUCAGUCACCCAAGCAACAGAGGACUCUCUAUUAAGGCGGAUUCUUUACUACUGCACCACCUGGGAAGCUCAUCCUUUGAACUAAUUGCUGCUGCUACGUUGCUUCAGUCGUGUCUGACUCUGCGACCCCGUAGACAGCAGCCCACCAGGCUCCCCCGUCCCUGGGAUUCUCCAGGCAAGAAUACUGGAGUGGGUUGCCAUUUCCUUCUCCUAGUACCAUAUAUUAAAAAGUCGUUCCUUUCCCCAUGAAUUUGAUUGGCACUUCUGUGAUAAAUCAAAUAAUCUUCUAUACGUGAGCCUAUUUUUGCACCCUAUUCUGUUCUGCUCAUCUGUUAUCUAUCUGAUCAAUUUCAGUGAUGGUUGGAGAUUCACAUGGAUCUAAGGAAAGUUUCUUUUCCACAAUGUAAUUUUUUUUCUAUUGUUCUAUGUCCUAGAACUGAUUACUUUAUAGAAUAAUAGAUGUAGUAAAGAUUUAAUAUUACAGUAAUAUAGAGAAUACUUUUGGUUUUGGUAGGAAGAUUUUUACAGUAUUUGGAAUAUUAUUAUAGGACAUUGUUUUCCUGCACCUUGAUGUGUAUCUGAGGUCAGGGAGUAACAUUUUUUUAAAUUAAAGGAACUGCCACUUUGCUUUUUAAUAUUCUUGUUCAAUUUCCUCUCCCCUCCAAAAACUCCCAAGAGACACUGAAAUGAUACAAAUAUGUUGCAAAUAAC